rnacentral:rRNA from 1 species
AGUGAACGCUGGCGGUAGGCCUAACACAUGCAAGUCGAACGGCAGCACAGUAAGAGCUUGCUCUUACGGGUGGCGAGUGGCGGACGGGUGAGGAAUACAUCGGAAUCUACUUUUUCGUGGGGGAUAACGUAGGGAAACUUACGCUAAUACCGCAUACGUCCUACGGGUGAAAGCAGGGGAUCUUCGCACCUUGCGCGACUGAAUGCGCCGAUGUCGGAUUAGCUAGUUGGCGGGGUAAAGGCCCACCAAGGCGACGCUCCGUAGCUGGUCUGAGAGGAUGAUCAGCCACACUGGAACUGAGACACGGUCCAGACUCCUACGGGAGGCAGCAGUGGGGAAUAUUGGACAAUGGGCGCAAGCCUGAUCCAGCCAUACCGCGUGGGUGAAGAAGGCCUUCGGGUUGUAAAGCCCUUUUGUUGGGAAAGAAAAGCAGCAGGUUAAUACCCCGCUGUUCUGACGGUACCCAAAGAAUAAGCACCGGCUAACUUCGUG